UGGGACAAAGCCACAAGUUACUUAAGUGGAGGUGCUGGCUACGUUCUAAGCAGGGAAACUCUGAGGAUCUAUGGCAACGUAACUUAUCACAAUAACUCACUUUGCCCGAUGGGUCACCACGGAGGAGAAGACGUGACGUUAGGAAGGUGUCUUACUAAGUCAGGAAUACUUUUAGGAGAUACCAGGGAUGAAUUGGGCAAGCACAGGUUUCACCAGAAAAACCCCAGUGGAUUACAUAAAAGGAAUAUGGGAGAAAUGGUACCCAAAUACGAUGAUUUACACUUAUGGUAAGGGAAUCGACAGCCUAUCAGAAACGGCAGUAUCUUUCCACAACCUGAAAGAUGAGUCUGAUCUCUACACCCUCGAGUUUUUCAUCUACAGACUACAGCUCUUUGGCGUCAGUGGCAGAUUCAAAGGACCUCAGAUAGCACCUCUCCCACCUGAUAUCAGUGCUAUUCCCGUGCAGGUCCUGAAGCGGUUCCAGAGAGCAAAGGUGAACGAGAGUAGAAGUAAGAGAGAGGAAAGACUCAUGAAAUGAAUUCGUGAAAACACUUUCUGAUUCCAUCUUUAUCAGUAAAGUGCUGUGUCUGUUCUCCUGUUAAGUGUUUAAUAUUAAUGAUGAUAAAAGCAACGACCCCGAUGAUGACGAAAGUAUAUAUUUCUAUGAUAAAUCAUGAUACAAGAAUGUUUAAAAUAUCUUUAUAAUUGUCUUUAACUUCUGUAAUGCAUUUACUGUGCCGUUAUUUUAAUUAAUUAUCCAUUAUUUGUAUUGUAAUCUAUUGCAGUCGUACCACUGGCUUUAGUACCAGUGUUUUAAUGAUGAGAUGGACAUAUUGGAAAAGUGAGACGAAGUAAAACAAGAGACUCAUUA